rnacentral:rRNA from 1 species
AGAACGAACGCUGGCGGCAGGCCUCAAACAUGCAAGUCUAGGGGGUGUAGCAAUACAUCACCGGCGGACGGGUGCGUAACACGUGGGAAUAUACCUUUUGGUUCGGAACAACGCAGGGAAACUUGCGCUAAUACCGAAUGUGCCCUUACGGGGAAAGAUUUAUCGCCAAAGGAUUAGCCCGCGUAGGAUUAGCUAGUUGGUGAGGUAAUAGCUCACCAAGGCUCCGAUCCUUAGCUGUUCUGAGAGGAAGAUCAGCCACACUGGGACUGAGACACGGCCCAGACUCCUACGGGAGGCAGCAGUUGGGAAUCUUGGACAAUGGGGGAAACCCUGAUCCAGCCAUGCCGCGUGAGUGAUGAAGGCCUUCGGGUUGUAAAACUCUUUCGACGGGGACGAUAAUGACGGUACCCGUAGAAGAAGCUCCGGCUAACUUCGUGCCAGCAGCCGC